GAUGAACGCUGGCGGCGUGCCUAAUACAUGCAAGUCGAGCGAACAGACGAGGAGCUUGCUCCUCUGACGUUAGCGGCGGACGGGUGAGUAACACGUGGAUAACCUACCUAUAAGACUGGGAUAACUUCGGGAAACCGGAGCUAAUACCGGAUAAUAUAUUGAACCGCAUGGUUCAAUAGUGAAAGACGGUUUUGCGUUCACUUAUAGAUGGAUCCGCGCCGCAUUAGCUAGUUGGUAAGGUAACGGCUUACCAAGGCAACGAUGCGUAGCCGACCUGAGAGGGUGAUCGGCCACACUGGAACUGAGACACGGUCCAGACUCCUACGGGAGGCAGCAGUAGGGAAUCUUCCGCAAUGGGCGAAAGCCUGACGGAGCAACGCCGCGUGAGUGAUGAAGGUCUUCGGAUCGUAAAACUCUGUUAUUAGGGAAGAACAAAUGUGUAAGUAACUAUGCACGUCUUGACGGUACCUAAUCAGAAAGCCACGGCUCACUACGUG
rnacentral:rRNA from 1 species